GAUGAACGCUGGCGGCGUGCCUAAUACAUGCAAGUCGAGCGAACGGACGAGAAGCUUGCUUCUCUGAUGUUAGCGGCGGACGGGUGAGUAACACGUGGAUAACCUACCUAUAAGACUGGGAUAACUUCGGGAAACCGGAGCUAAUACCGGAUAAUAUUUUGAACCGCAUGGUUCAAAAGUGAAAGACGGUCUUGCUGUCACUUAUAGAUGGAUCCGCGCUGCAUUAGCUAGUUGGUAAGGUAACGGCUUACCAAGGCAACGAUGCAUAGCCGACCUGAGAGGGUGAGCGGCCACACUGGAACUGAGACACGGUCCAGACUCCUACGGGAGGCAGCAGUAGGAGAUCUUCCGCAAUGAGCGAAAGCCUGACGGAGCAACGCCGCGUGAGUGAUGAAGGUCUUCGGAUCGUAAAACUCUGUUAUUAGGGAAGAACAUAUGUGUAAGUAACUGUGCACAUCUUGACGGUACCUAAUCAGAAAGCCACGGCUAACUACGUG
rnacentral:rRNA from 1 species